GCGAACCCGCCAUUACCCUUUAAGGAGUUAAAAGUACCCUCUUUUUUCUUAUGUAUGAAGCUGUCAAAAUAAAGGGUACUUGUCAAUUUCUAAAUAUGGGUAAAUUUUGCCCUUUCUCAGGUUUUGACAGUAUACUCUUUAAUGAGUGAAAAUGUUCUUGAACAUUUUCGUGGCGCACCCAGUCGUACAAGGCUGAUGUUGUUUGGUUUAAAUAUCUCUCAUACAUUGCGAUGCUGCAUAACGCUUUUACAGGUAGGCCCGUGGUUCAAGAGCUCCACCGAGAUCGAGAGCACCGAUGAAGCUGGGAGCGCAAAUUCCAUCGACCGAAGGCUAAAUGCAAAAAGUUCUGGCAAAACAUACACAAAUAUUAAUUAAAUUGAUUAUGAGUUGAGAACGAUGAAAUAAAGUUUUGAAACGAACGGUCAUUUAUCAAGUG